AAAGCACUUUUAUCAGGAGCGAAAUGCUACCGGCUAAUACCCGGUGGAGCUGACGGUACCUGAGGAAUAAGCACCGGCUAACUUCGUGCCAGCAGCCGCGGUAAUACGAAGGGUGCAAGCGUUAAUCGGAAUUACUGGGCGUAAAGGGUGCGUAGGCGGUUAUUUAAGUCUGCCGUGAAAUCCCCGGGCUCAACCUGGGAAUGGCGGUGGAUACUGGAUAGCUAGAGUGUGUCAGAGGAUGGUGGAAUUCCCGGUGUAGCGGUGAAAUGCGUAGAGAUCGGGAGGAACAUCAGUGGCGAAGGCGGCCAUCUGGGACAACACUGACGCUGAAGCACGAAAGCGUGGGGAGCAAACAGGAUUAGAUACCCUGGUAGUCCACGCCCUAAACGAUGCGAACUGGAUGUUGGUCUCAACUCGGAGAUCAGUGUCGAAGCAAACGCGUUAAGUUCGCCGCCUGGGGAGUACGGUCGCAAGACUGAAACUCA
rnacentral:rRNA from 1 species